rnacentral:rRNA from 1 species
UACGGAGGGAGCUAGCGUUAUUCGGAAUUAUUGGGCGUAAAGAGCGUGUAGGCGGCCCGAUUAGUCCGCUGUGAAGGUCCAGGGCUCAACCCUGGAAUGCCGGUGGAUACUGUCGGGCUAGAGUCCGGAAGGGGCGAGUGGAAUUCCUGGUGUAGCAGUGAAAUGCGUAGAGAUGUGGAGGAACACCGAUGGCGAAGGCAGCCCCCUGGGACGGUACUGACGCUGAGACGCGAAAGCGUGGGGAGCGAACAGG